UACGGGGGGGGCAAGCGUUGUUCGGAAUUACUGGGCGUAAAGGGCUUGUAGGUGGCCAACUAAGUCAGACGUGAAAUCCCUCGGCUUAACCGGGGAACUGCGUCUGAUACUGGAUGGCUUGAGUGUGGGAGAGGGAUGCGGAAUUCCAGGUGUAGCGGUGAAAUGCGUAGAUAUCUGGAGGAACACCGGUGGCGAAGGCGGCAUCCUGGACCAUUACUGACACUGAAAAGCGAAAGCCAGGGAAGCAAACGGG
rnacentral:rRNA from 1 species